CAUCCGCCAGAGAACUACAAGUGAAAAACUUAAAACUCAAAGGACUUGACGGUGUCCCAUACCGACCUAGAGGAGCCUGUCCUAUAAUCGAUACCCCCCGUUCCACCCAACCUCAACUAGCAAAAACAGCCUAUAUACCGCCGUCGACCAGCCUACCCCAUGAGGGUUUAACAGUAGACACAAUAGCCCCCCCGCUAAUACGUCAGGUCAAGGUGUAGCAAAUGUUGAGGAAGAGAUUGGCUACAUUUUUUAUGAUAAAAAAUACGAAAAGCACUAUGAAAUCGUGCAUGAAGGUGAAUUUAGUAGUAAAAUAAACAAGAGAGUUUAUUUUAACAACGCUCUGGGACGCGUACACACCGCCG
rnacentral:rRNA from 1 species